GACGAACGCUGGCGGCGUGCUUAACACAUGCAAGUCGAGCGGUAAGGCCCUUUCGGGGGUACACGAGCGGCGAACGGGUGAGUAACACGUGGGUGACCUGCCCUCAGCUCUGGGAUAAGCCUGGGAAACCGGGUCUAAUACUGGAUAUGACUCCAUGACGCAUGUUGUGGGGUGGAAAGCCUUGUGCGGCUGAGGAUGGGCCCGCGGCCUAUCAGCUUGUUGGUGGGGUGANGGCCUACCAAAGGCGACGACGGGUAGCCGGCCUGAGAGGGCGACCGGCCACACUGGGACUGAGACACGGCCCAGACUCCUACGGGAGGCAGCAGUGGGGAAUCUUGCGCAAUGGGCGAAAGCCUGGCGCAGCGACGCCGCGUGAGGGAUGACGGCC
rnacentral:rRNA from 1 species